AAACUAAAUCAAAACCUUAGCCGCAGCAAUAUGGAAGAUAAAACGCCCUAAGGCUCUCCCCUCCAUCUUUCGCCGUUUCAAAUCCCAGAUUCCCCGUCCAAUCCGAUCAGAACAAAGUAGACGAGGAUUCCUACGGCGUGAUAUCACAGGUAAGAUCCUUCUCUUUUUCUUUUUGUAUAGCAAAUAGAAAGAAGCAAAGAAAAAUAAUAGAGAAACGCAGAAAAAAAAAACAAAACAUAAAUGGUGAAUCACCUUCUCAAAACUAAAAAAACUUUGUUUUUGAUUCUUUCUAUUGAUAUUGUGUGAUCGUAUGCGUGGGUUCCCCCCUUCAAAUACAGAAAAAUGGCUUUUUAUAUAGCCGGAUCCAAAAGAAAAAUAAAUCAAAAUUUUUUCUGCCCUCUCUGCUAUUUUUUCGUUUUUGCCUGCUGCUUUGUUCGUUUUGUUUGUUGCAGGCGUACGGAGCAAUGGACGUGGAGGCUCGCGUGGAUUUGGCGCGGAGGCACUACACGCGUGCAGGCGCAACAUGGCGAGGAGGAGGCCUGGCUCUGCUGCGACGCUGGAGGUUCUAGGGUUCCCUGCUGCUGAUUUUCUCUGUUUUGGGCUGCGGGUAUUUGGGCUUGAUUUUGGGUUUAGGUUUAGUAUUUGGGUUAAGGACUGAAUUGGGCUUUGAGUCUGUAAAUGGACAUUUAUUUAUUUUUUUGGGUUUUUGGUUUGAUUUUAAUAUUUAUAAAAACUAGGUUGUUAAUAGUGGAUGUUUUAAUUUAAUUUAUUUUUGGUAUUUAUUGGGCCGGGCAAAAUGGGUUAUUACAACAUAAAUUCAAAAUGAUAUCAUUUAUAAUUAUUUAGUUGGGAUAAAUAAUUAAAUUUUAAAAAUUAGGGUAUUAGCAUUUUUCAAAUUAAAAAAAUAAUUAUGAAAGAAGAAUAAUUAUCUUAAAAAUAAAUAAUAUACUAGAAAUUCAAUAUGGAUAUCAUUGUAUUUGUAAAAAAUUAUAAAUAAACUAUAUAUUAGAGUUAAAUAAAAAAAAUUGAAGUUUAAAUUAUUUUUUAAUCUUAUAAUAGGAUCAUGUGUUCUAAAUGAAAUAAAAUUAGGAGAAAUUUUGAAAACCCACCUGUUUAGGUGGAACUUGAAAAAUAAAAUUGAGCUACUAAAGUUUUCGCAAAUUUUGGAAUUCUUCGAUAUUUUUACCCAAACAAAUAAAUUUAUUUUUAAAAAUUUAACAACUCUAAGAGAAACAAAAUUCCUCUUGUAAAUUCUUCAUUUAAACAUACUUUAAAGGUUGAAAACAUAGGUUUUUAGUGAAUCUGUAAAAAAAAAAAUCAUAAUACAAGAACCUUUUAUACAACUUGAAAAAAAC
rnacentral:lncRNA from 1 species